GCGCUCCCCAGCCCCGCGGUGCCACUCACCGACUGCAGGAAGCAGAGGGUCCCCACGUAGUCGCGCUCGGUGCUGAGGAUCUCGUUGAGGACGCAGAGGCGGAGGCGCAGCUGGCGGCUUCAUGGAUAUCACGUUACAUGGAAUGAAAAAACAGCUCUUGGGUCGAGACACAGUUACAGCAGGCUGCAGUCUUGGGUCAAGGUGUGCGGUUACCAUGGCUCUCGUGAUGCCCUGCGGUAGCACUUUCUGCAUCCUCAUCAGCGACAAGCGUUCCCUCACUCCGAGUCAGGCUGAAACACCGUGGUCCAAAAGGGGAGAGAAGAUGUGGGAACGGCCUUGUGGCCCUGGGCUGCGGAGAGCCCUGCAAGCGCGUCUGGGACAUGGACAGCGAACCAGAAUCUCUAGAAGGUCAGAUUAGACUCUAAAUUCACUGGGUUUCUUUCAAGUUCUUUACAUUUAACCUUUCAUUUUCUUCUGAAAGUCAUUUCCAUUUAUUUACUCAUUUUGUAUCCAGUUUAUCUCUUGUUUAAAAUCAUCGAAUGGUUUUGGGUUUUUUUCUGUUUGGGGCAAGAGGCAGGCGGCAAGACUUUCUUUUAAAAUAUCCUAAUUAAAUAACAAUACACCCUGUUAGGAAAAAACACCAUCACCAAAGCUACGCCCCCACCCUGUGGCUGAGUGAGAAAGUUGUUAGCUUUAAAGCUGUUAAUUUGCUAUCUCUGUCUCCAGUGUUUUCCUCAAAAAUCCAAUAAGAAUUUCAUUUCCGUAGCAAGUGCUGAGACAGGAGCCUAUCACAGCCCAAGCAGAAUGUUUGCCGAUGCGAUGCCUCCACCGCUGGAGGACAAUUGCCUUUUUGUCACCAUGGUGUACAAGCUACAUUGCUUCAAAACACUCCUCUAGCUUUAGUGGCAGUAUUGAAAGCCUUACU